rnacentral:lncRNA from 1 species
UCUACCACCUCGUUCACCACCAUCAGCUAAUUUGAAAAGUCCACCACCACCUCAUCCACCAUCUCCUCUGCCACCUCCACCUCCUCCACCACCUCCACCACCUCAUCCACCAUCUCCUCUGCCACCUCCACCUCCUCCACCACCUCAUCCACCAUCUCCUCUGCCACCUCCACCUCCUCCACCACCUCCACCACCUCAGUCACAUCCAAUAUCAUCAUCUUCUUCUUUGAUUAUAUCUCUCUCAGUUGGAGGAGUAGUUUGUUUUCUGAUUGUCCUUUCUGUUAUAUACUUGUACCAUAAACAAACAAAAAAGGUUGUCAGUGUAAUGCCCUUG